rnacentral:rRNA from 1 species
UGGGGAAUAUUGCACAAUGGGCGCAAGCCUGAUGCAGCCAUGCCGCGUGUAUGAAGAAGGCCUUCGGGUUGUAAAGUACUUUCAGCGGGGAGGAAGGGAGUAAAGUUAAUACCUUUGCUCAUUGACGUUACCCGCAGAAGAAGCACCGGCUAACUCCGUGCCAGCAGCCGCGGUAAUACGGAGGGUGCAAGCGUUAAUCGGAAUUACUGGGCGUAAAGCGCACGCAGGCGGUUUGUUAAGUCAGAUGUGAAAUCCCCGGGCUCAACCUGGGAACUGCAUCUGAUACUGGCAAGCUUGAGUCUCGUAGAGGGGGGUAGAAUUCCAGGUGUAGCGAUGAAAUGCGUAGAGGUCUGGAGGAAUACCGGUGGCGAAGGCGGCCCCCUGGACGAAGACUGACGCUCAGGUGCGAAAGCGUGGGGAGCAAACAGG